UAGGGAAUCUUCCACAAUGGGCGCAAGCCUGAUGGAGCAACACCGCGUGAGUGAAGAAGGGUUUCGGCUCGUAAAGCUCUGUUGUUAAAGAAGAACACGUAUGAGAGUAACUGUACAUACGUUGACGGUAUUUAACCAGAAAGUCACGGCUAACUACGUGCCAG
rnacentral:rRNA from 1 species